rfam:Allomyces macrogynus ATCC 38327 genomic scaffold supercont3.13, whole genome shotgun sequence.
GGGCGUGUGGCGCAGUGGCUAGCGCGCAUCCCUCCGGAGGAUGAAGUCGUGGGUUCGAAUCCCACCUCGCUCG